UGUUUAUAUAAUUUAUAUUAGAAUAUUGUGUUGAAGUUACAAAAGAGACAUAUUUGUCUAUAAGCAA
rnacentral:tRNA from 1 species